GGAUGAGGCUAUGAUGAUGUGUAAUUCCUGUUGCUGUAGACAGUGGCAAUCUCAGCCCUGAUACAUUGAUGUGUAAAAGCUGUUGAGUUUUAAAGCAAUGAGUCAUGUGGAGACACGGUAUUGGUGAAGCAUUUCUAGUGUUCCUGGAGCAGGUUUCAGAGUCACCCAUCAUUUGCACAUGGAGACCAUACAUAUUGUUUAAGGGACUAAACACCAACCCAAAUAAUUUAUCAUGUCACCUCUCCCUCCCCAUUUUCCCCACCAAGUGAGCGAGUGAAAGGUAUUCAGAAAACACGUUAAUCAAAGUGGGCAGAAGAACCCUUUUUAAAUGGCGAGGAAAUGUCCCUAAGUUGAGGUUUAUCAUCUUUCCUUUGGGGCAAAAAUCCAGUGUCCCCAGCAUGUCAUGAUUGAACUUUGUCUCACAGCAGCCAAGUGUACUGAAAAUAAAGUUGUUUUAUGUGCUUAGGGAAUAGAACAUUGUUAGUUGGGGCAGAUUUAGUGAUAUAAGAACAGGUCUUAGGGCCAUGCCUGUGUUCUGAAAUUCUUAUGUCCUAGGCCUCAGCCUUCUUUAUCCACCCUUGGCCAGACUCAGAAGGGGAUUAGAGAGCUCUGCCCUUGACCCCUUUCUUCCCUGUCAUUCUUCCUAGUCUUUCUGUGACCUAUCCAUGGUGUGUAGACAAGGACACAGGAGAAUGUAGGGCUUUGUUUCUUUUUUUCUCUUGGCUGUUCUCUUAGUUGUAUGAGUUUUAGAUUAGGCCUUCUGGACACUUGUUCACUGAUGAAGCUCAAGUCUGAGAACAAGCCCUGACAAUAUCGUAGGUGCUUAAUAAAUAUUAGUGGAAUAAAUGACUUAAGUGCCAAGAGGAGCUCUUCUGGUUAAACAAAUUUCUCAAAUAGAACUUGAGAAAGGACACUAAUUAAAUGGGGUGAUCUUAACCCAGGCCAGGAUCUAACCUUAAUGGUUUGCCUACUCACCUUUGUCAUGGUAAUAUUUGCUAAGACAAGCCUUCUUAAAUAAAAAUGAAUUCUCUUUUAUUGGUUGAUGAAAAAGAGGGUUGCUUUUCAUAACUCACUUUGGCUUAAUCUGACUCAUAAGACUACCAGAGACCAUGCCUGCUUCCAUUUUGAUGAGAUCUUUUCCUUUUUUAAAAUAAAGUUACUUAAUAUAUGGCAAAACUUUUCAGUUCCCAAUGCAUCAUAUUCAUGUCAUAGAGUCAGGUUUGGAGAAUCUGCAAAAUCACAUAGCUCGCUCAUAUGAAUGAUAUGGCUCCAUAUAGACUGCAUCCUCGAAGGAUUUUAGGCUUUCUCCCUUACCUGUGCAAGGCUUUUUAUUCCCUUAUAUGCUUUUGUUACAUGUACUGAAUUAUGUUAACAUUUAAAUUUGAUUAUAUGGGGCCAUAUAAUCCUUUCUGUGGAUUACUUGGAGUAGGCCAUUAGCUCUUCCUGACUUUUUUUUCCCCUCUUUUUUAAAGUCAUUUCAUAUUAGCACCUCUUCCUGAGUAAAGAAUCAAUAACCAAAAAUGAAAGUGAAAUGGAUUGAUUUGACCUUGUGUCAAUUUCUGAGUGAGAGUUUGCUAAGAAAGGUAAAAACCACUGACCACAAUAAAAUAUUUGGAUUGGGGUUACUUAUUUUAAGCAGUUUAGACUUGUUGGAGAGAGGAGGCAGAGUUUAACAAGGACUGGACUCUUCUUUUUUCUUCUGUUCAUGAGCGUAUGCCUUUGGAGGACACUGGUGACUUCCAGUAUUAGAUAAUGAUUUGCCUCAUUUACCCUUUGAGCUCACCCAUAAUUUUUCCCAGGCCCAGCAUCCACUUUCAGUUAAUGAGUCUUUCUGGAUAAAUAUCAGUUGCAAGUGAUUUUGAAUUGGUCCUCUGACUAAAAUGAAAACAUUGUUUUUAAAAAAAUAAACCACGCUACGUAAAUGAGAUCAUAUUAUAAUCAGACAGGACUAUUUUUUUCCCCCAAGUAUCAAACCAAUGGUGUUAAAGAUUUUGUUAAAGAUGUUUCUUUAUCCUGCAGAACUCUCUGUAUUUCAUGAUCACAAGUAUUUUAGUGACCUCUGCUUAGCCUCUGGAAGAGGUCUUCUACGGUUUAUACAUUCUUUUUUGUAGAUUUUUUUUUUUUUUGGCUACGCCCAUGGCAUGUAAAAGGUCCUGGGCCUGGGAUGGAAUCCACACCACAGCAGCGACCCCCGUUGCUGCGGUGACAAUACCAAAUCCUUAACCUGCUGCACCACAAGGGAACGCCUCUAGAAUUUCUGUUCACCUGCAACUGAUUACUUAUUCUCCUCAACCAUGGCCCUGACAGGUGUGUUUUAAUGCAACUAUAAUACUCUUGAGACUUAACCAGAAAAUCAAAAGAAGUGAAAAAAAACGUGUAUCACAUCCUUCUGACAGAAUGUGCUCCACAUAUGAGUAUGGUUGAACACCAAUUUUGGGAUAAGAGAAGGAUGUGUUUUCUUUGUCUUUUUUUUUUUUUUUUUUUUUUUUUUUUGGAUUUUGUAUCUGUGACAUGAGCCUAUUUGUGUUUGGAGGGAAAACUGCCUUCCCCUACAUUCUUCACACUGGGGAGACAGCAUACUGAAUUAAGAAAUUAUCUUCUCUUCUAAUAGCUCAUGAGUAUAAUAAUGUUAGAGCAAGGGAGAUGACAUUAGAACAUUGCAGUCAUUUUGGGGAGCCAUAGUUUCAAAAUAAAUUGAGGCAUAAUGAAGAUAGUGAAGGAGUUUAAAAUUGAAGACAGUUGAAGAAUAUUUGAAGGAUUUGGGGAAAUGUGGUUUGGGAAAGAGAGAGGCAUAUCAUUAGUACAAGAGAGCAAGACUCUGAUUCAAAGGGGUAGAAUGAGGCCCAGAGAAUAGAGGUCAUCGGGCCUCUAUUUGAACUUCAUGCUAGGAAGAACGUCUCAAAAAGUUGUUUCACCACGGAAGGGGCUGCUCUAGGUGAUAGUCUCUGUCAAGCAAAGGCUAGAUAAGAACUUAGCAAAGAUGAUGUGGAGACGAUCCCAGCAUUUGUUGGGGUAGACCAGAUGACCUAUUAAAAUUCUAUGUUGCAGUAAUAUGCUCCUCAAAACAUGUUGAAUUAAAUAUCUGUGACCCAGAGCUAAUGAUUUUUUUUUCAAGCUUCGCCCUUCUGCCCAAAGUGCAUCCCAUCCUAUAGGAAGGAAGUUGAUUACAUGUCAUUAGUUGAAGAGCCUGGCUUGCCGUUAUGCCCUAGGCUGGGAUUGCUUUGCCAGUCCAUUCGUUGACGUCCUGUUGAAAUCACAAACUAAUUCUUGACUUAAAGAUUAAACAGGUAUUAUUUUUAAUAGAAGUUACAUGAAAUCAUGGAAAUUAUGUAUUUGUUAUUUGCCAAACAUAGGCCAGGCUCAGUUUCAGUAACUAAUUGGUGUCUUCAGAGUUUCAGGAUAGGUCUUUUUAGCAGAGUAAAAUCUUCAGCUAAAGAUUCCAUAAAUAUACCGACAUGAAGUUUUGCAGCUCCUAUCAUAGAUGAGCUGGUGGUCACUGGCAGAAAGCGAUCCCCAAGAUCUAUUAUGGAAAAAUCUCACAUGACAUUUGGUUAGUUGGUUUGAUUCUCUUGGAAAAAACGUGAUCUGGAAAUGAUUUUAAAAGAACAGAGGUCAGCUCUUUCAAUCCCUGGCUCCACGCAGUGGGUUAAGGAUCCUGUGUUGCUUCCCCUGUGGCGUAGGUUGCAGAUGCAGCCUGGAUUUGAUCCCGUCUGGGAACUUCCAUAUGCCAUGUGUGCAGCUG
rnacentral:lncRNA from 1 species